rnacentral:rRNA from 1 species
AUAUCAAUAAGCGGAGGAAAAGAAACCAACAGGGAUUGCCCCAGUAACGGCGAGUGAAGCGGCAAGAGCUCAAAUUUGAAAUCYGGCCUCCCCCGGGGGCCCGAGUUGUAAUUUGCAGAGGAUGCUUCGGGUGCGGCCGCCGUCUAAGUUCCUUGGAACAGGACGUCAGAGAGGGUGAGAAUCCCGUCUUGGGCGGGCGGUCCGCGCCCGUGUGAAGCUCCUUCGACGAGUCGAGUUGUUUGGGAAUGCAGCUCUAAGCGGGUGGUAAAUUUCAUCUAAAGCUAAAUAUUGGCCGGAGACCGAUAGCGCACAAGUAGAGUGAUCGAAAGGUUAAAAGCACCUUGAAAAGGGAGUUAAACAGCACGUGAAAUUGUUGAAAGGGAAGCGCUUGCGGCCAGACUCGGGGGCGGGGUUCAGCGGGUGCUCGUCGCCCGUGUAUUCCUCGUCUCCCGGGCCAGCAUCAGUUUCGACGGCCGGUCAAAGGCCCCCGGAAUGUGUCGUCUCUCGGGACGUCUUAUAGCCGGGGGUGCAAUGCGGCCCGUCGGGACUGAGGAACGCGCUCCGGCUCGGAUGCUGGCGUAAUGGCCGUAAGCGGC